rnacentral:lncRNA from 1 species
GAAUAUAUGAGAUCUAGCUUUUAAGAUGAAAGUGGAGAGGAAAUGAAAGGAAAGAGAGCUGGUGUAGAGUGAGAAGAAAAUAUAUGUAAAAUUAAUGUUUGAGCUUUAAGAGCUUCAAACUGAGUGUUCAUGAUUGUUGAAGAAGUUAUGGUAUUUUUGAAAAAGUUAAGUGAUGGUAUUUUUGAAAAAGUUAAGGAUUGUAUAGGGAUAAGACGACAAAAUAUAGUAGACAAAAAAGAUUAUGUAUGUAGUUUACUUCAAAUUUUAAAUUAUAUUUGAAAAACUCAUAAAAAGAUAAAUACUAAGAUAAAUACUAAUAAGUAUUUAAAUGUCUCAUUUGAAUAAUAAAAUUAAAUUUUAAAUAAAAAUAAACUAGAAUAAAAAUAUCAAAAUUGUAAUAAACUGACGAAAACAAAAGUAAAGUAAUGCCAAAUCACAUUCUAAUUUAGGUUCUCUUCAUCCUCAAUCACUUCAUUUUUGGGAUAGUAUAGUGAAAUCUUCAUCAAACUAACUAUUAAGAAUCACAAGUCUAGUAAUUUAGUUUCUAUUUUACACAACUAAAAGAAAAAUCAGAAACCCAAUUAACGAUCUAUAACAACACUUAAAAGAAUAAGAAAAGUUAAAUAAUAAUCAC